AUAGUACUCCCUCCGUUCGGAAUUACUCGUCUAAGAAAUGAAUGUAUCUAGAUGUAUUUUAGUUGUAGAUACAUCCAUUUUUGUGACAAGUAAUUCCGAACGGAGAGAGUAUGAA
rnacentral:pre_miRNA from 1 species